rnacentral:snRNA from 1 species
AACUUUGCGCGGUGGCAAUAUCGUAGCCAAUGCGGUUUACCUGAGGCGCGAUGAUUGCUAAUUGAAAAAAAAAGAAAGAAAACU